rnacentral:rRNA from 1 species
UACGUAGGGUGCGAGCGUUGUCCGGAAUUAUUGGGCGUAAAGGGCUCGUAGGCGGUUUGUCGCGUCGGGAGUGAAAACACCGGGCUUAACUCGGUGCUUGCUUUCGAUACGGGCAGACUAGAGGUAUGCAGGGGAGAACGGAAUUCCUGGUGUAGCGGUGAAAUGCGCAGAUAUCAGGAGGAACACCGGUGGCGAAGGCGGUUCUCUGGGCAUUACCUGACGCUGAGGUGCGAAAGCGUGGGGAGCAAACAGG